CACUAUGCUUCACAUGAUCGAAGACAAUGAAUAUUCAGGAUCUCCAUCCCCAUCACCAGAAUUCUCCUGAAUUUAUGAGACUGAAUACCCUAUGGGGAUUUUUACCAUCCCAAAACUAUGUUUGUAGAGAUCGAAUGAGCCUGCCUGAUUUGAUUGUCUCAGUUAUUGUGUUGGGUUUCCAGUUUUGGGCCCAACCUUCUCAGUUGCCUUUCAUGGGCGUAGUUAAGAAUUUUUCCCAAAAAUAAAAGUAAAAGAAGACGCGAGUGAUCGGCGCUUAGCACAGAAACGAAAGAGGCUGGACUUGGGACUUGAAGGUCCGAUUAGCCCUAAUUAGGAAUUCCGAUUCACGUCCGGCGAAGUGGUUUCAGUUAUAGAAAAUCAGAUUGCGUCACGGCCACUAUUUUGGUUCAGAAUUCUGGAUUCAAAUCAGCGUGAUAUUGGAAUUCGGAUCAAGUUCAGGCUAGGGUUUUCGUUCUUCUGUUCAAUUAGGCAUUUUGAUAAAGUUUUAUUUAGGGUUUUGUAGAAAAUAGGGGAAGGAUGUUGGCGGCAGAUGAGGCAGGCACCAUGGACGAAGAGGUUUUCAAGCUUAAAGAGAAGCUUUCUCAAUGCCAACUCGAAAGGGAGCAGCUCCUGAGAGAGAAAGAGAGCUGGAUGAUCAAGGAGCAACUUGUGAUGCGGGAAAAAGAAGAAGUAGAAGAAAAGCUCAGAAUUGAAAUAGAGGCAAAUUUGUGCGCAAGAUCUGAAUUUGAAAAAAAAAGAAGAAGCCACUCCAGGAGCCCUUGGAGACCAAAAAGAAGAGUUUACGUCAGCUAAAGAAGGCAUUCAAUGAGUUUCAUGCUAAUGGUGAAAUGCCUUAUAUGGGAGCACGAUCAGCCAUUGCCAAUGACAAGUUAAAGAGAUUGCGUGCUGAAUUAGAAAAGAAAAAUAAGUGCUCACAAGCAGAGAGAGAUAAGCGGGACAAGCUACACUUAGAGAUAAUUGAGAAACGGGACAAUUUAUUUGCUUUUCUUAAGACUUGUGUGAAAUAUUCAAAGAUCACUGAUGAUGUAAAACACUUGCUCCGAGUCCACUAUGAUGCGUAUAUUGACAAACGCAGGACUGAAAAUGAUGAAUGUGAACUGUUAAGAAAGUAUGUGCAUUUUGUUCUACAACCGGGUUCUGCUCAGAAGCAAAAUGAGAUGUUUGCUGGGUGAUUUUUUAUCUCCAAUUUCUGCUGCAAUGUCAAAAUUUUUUAACAUCUUCCUGAGAAAAAAGACAGAGUCCAAUGGUUCUCUUAUCUAUAACACAAGUUCUACACUUCUACCAACAAGGAUGCUAAGCAUAAACAUCAUGCAAGAGGAAGAGAGGACGACGAGUCUGAACAUCCUGGCGAAGCCUCAAUAGGAAAGAAGCUUUGGGACUUCAUCAUAACAUAAAAAGCUGAGGAUCUGUUUGGUUUGACUCUAGAUGGAAGACAAGGCAAGGAGGACAUUGAGAACAUUGUACUUUCUCAUAACAUAAAAAUUUAGGAUUUAUAGUUUGUUUACCCUGAUUGUUCAUAACGUACUGCAUGGUGGAGGAUGAUUAGUGUUGUUGGUUGGCCUAAUGUUUCUUAUGUAUGCGGAAUAAAUUGAAUUAUAUCCUUGGAUAGUCUUCUGGAA